GCAUAUCAAUAAGCGGAGGAAAAGAAACCAACAGGGAUUGCCUUAGUAGCGGCGAGUGAAGCGGCAAAAGCUCAAAUUUGAAAUCUGGCACUUUCAGUGUCCGAGUUGUAAUUUGAAGAAGGUAUCUUUGGGUCUGGCUCUUGUCUAUGUUUCUUGGAACAGAACGUCACAGAGGGUGAGAAUCCCGUGCGAUGAGAUGUCCCAGACCUAUGUAAAGUUCCUUCGAAGAGUCGAGUUGUUUGGGAAUGCAGCUCUAAGUGGGUGGUAAAUUCCAUCUAAAGCUAAAUAUUGGCGAGAGACCGAUAGCGAACAAGUACAGUGAUGGAAAGAUGAAAAGAACUUUGAAAAGAGAGUGAAAAAGUACGUGAAAUUGUUGAAAGGGAAGGGCUUGAGAUCAGACUUGGUAUUUUGUAUGUUACUCUCUCGGGGGUGGCCUCUACAGUUUACCGGGCCAGCAUCAGUUUGAGCGGUAGGAUAAGUGCAAAGAAAUGUGGCACUGCUUCGGUAGUGUGUUAUAGUCUUUGUCGAUACUGCCAGCUUAGACUGAGGACUGCGGCUUCGGCCUAGGAUGUUG
rnacentral:rRNA from 1 species